rnacentral:rRNA from 2 species
GAUGACCUGUGGCUGGGGGUGAAAGGCCAAUCAAACCGGGAGAUAGCUGGUUCUCCCCGAAAGCUAUUUAGGUAGCGCCUCGUGAAUUCAUCUCCGGGGGUAGAGCACUGUUUCGGCUAGGGGGCCAUCCCGGCUUACCAACCCGAUGCAAACUGCGAAUACCGGAGAAUGUUAUCACGGGAGACACACGGCGGGUGCUAACGUCCGUCGUGAAGAGGGAAACAACCCAGACCGCCAGCUAAGGUCCCAAAGUCAUGGUUAAGUGGGAAACGAUGUGGGAAGGCCCAGACAGCCAGGAUGUUGGCUUAGAAGCAGCCAUCAUUUAAAGAAAGCGUAAUAGCUCACUGGUCGAGUCGGCCUGCGCGGAAGAUGUAACGGGGCUAAACCAU